UUUUAACACUAUAUAAUGAUCAUAUAAUUUUCUAUUUCUCCAAGUGAACGAGGAAAAUAUGGCAAAAACACUAAAACUUGUGUAUGUUAUGAUUAUUUUUCAAUUCAUAUUUGUCACUGUAACUGAAGGCGUACGUUUGAUAGUAUGCUCUGAUGAUGAAGAAUGUUAUCAAAAUGUAGAGUGUAACACUCCUGAGCUUCCAAAGUGCAUAUUUGAUUUAUGUCAAUGUGCGUGAGUCAUAAUUAAGUUCAAAAAUAAUUUCAUGGUGUACUUGUAAGUUCAAAAAUAAUUUCUAUGAUUAUUUAAUCUUCCUUUUUUAUACAAUUAUUUCAUACAGUAAAAUUUGUAUCAUUAUUAUUUAUUUAUAAUAAAAUCAUUCAUCUCAAAUUUA